rnacentral:rRNA from 1 species
GUGAGGUAACGGCUCACCAAGGCAUCGACGGGUAGCUGGUCUGAGAGGAUGAUCAGCCACACUGGGACUGAGACACGGCCCAGACUCCUACGGGAGGUAGCAGUGGGGAAUCUUGCGCAAUGGGCGAAAGCCUGACGCAGCAACGCCGCGUGCGGGAAGAAGGCCCUCGGGUUGUAAACCGCUUUCAGUAGGAACGAAAAUGACGGUACCUGCAGAAGAAGGUGCGGCCAACUACGUGCCAGCAGCCGCGGUGACACGUAGGCACCAAGCGUUGUCCGGAUUUAUUGGGCGUAAAGAGCUCGUAGGCGGUUCGGUAAGUCGGGUGUGAAAACUUUGGGCUUAACCCAAAGCCUGCAUCCGAUACUGCUGUGACUAGAGUUCGGUAGGGGAGCGGGGAAUUCCUAGUGUAGCGGUGAAAUGCGCAGAUAUUAGGAGGAACACCGGUGGCGAAGGCGCCGCUCUGGGCCGAUACUGACGCUGAGGAGCGAAAGCGUGGGUAGCAAACAGGAUUAGAUACCCUGGUAGUCCACGCCGUAAACGUUGGGCACUAGGUGUGGGUCUCAACCAACGAGAUCCGCGCCGUCGCUAACGCAUUAAGUG